rfam:Fukomys damarensis contig81230, whole genome shotgun sequence.
GUGCUUGCUUCGGCAGCACAUAUACUCAAAUUGGAAUGAUACAGAGGAUUAGCAUGGCCUCUGUGCAGGAAAGACAUGCAAAUUCAUGAAUGUUCCAUAUUUUUU